rnacentral:tRNA from 1 species
GCCUGGGAGGCUCAGUCGGUUAAGCGUCUGACUUUGGCUCAGGUUACGAACUUGCAGUUCGUGGGUUCGUGCCCCGCAUCGGGCU